rnacentral:rRNA from 1 species
GAUGAACGCUGGCGGCGUGCCUAAUACAUGCAAGUCGAGCGAACAGACGAGGAGCUUGCUCCUCUGACGUUAGCGGCGGACGGGUGAGUAACACGUGGAUAACCUACCUAUAAGACUGGGAUAACUUCGGGAAACCGGAGCUAAUACCGGAUAAUAUAUUGAACCGCAUGGUUCAAUAGUGAAAGACGGUUUUGCUGUCACUUAUAGAUGGAUCCGCGCCGCAUUAGCUAGUUGGUAAGGUAACGGCUUACCAAGGCGACGAUGCGUAGCCGACCUGAGAGGGUGGUCGGCCACACUGGAACUGAGACACGGUCCAGACUCCUACGGGAGGCAGCAGUAGGGAAUCUUCCGCAAUGGGCGAAAGCCUGACGGAGCAACGGCGCGUGAGUGAUGAAGGUCUUCGGAUCGUAAAACUCUGUUAUUAGGGAAGAACAAAUGUGUAAGUAACUAUGCACGUCUUGACGGUACCUAAUCAGAAAGCCACGGCUAACUACGUA